UACGUAGGGGGCGAGCGUUGUCCGGAUUUAUUGGGCGUAAAGAGCUCGUAGGCGGUUUGGUAAGUCGGGUGUGAAAUCUCCACGCUCAACGUGGAGGGGCCACUCGAUACUGCCAUGACUCGAGUCCGGUAGAGGAGUGUGGAAUUCCCGGUGUAGCGGUGAAAUGCGCAGAUAUCAGGAAGAACACCCGUGGCGAAGGCGGCUCUCUGGGACGUGACUGACGCUGAGACGCGAAAGCGUGGGGAGCGAACAGG
rnacentral:rRNA from 1 species